rnacentral:rRNA from 1 species
AUUGAACGCUGGCGGCGUGCUUUACACAUGCAAGUCGGACGAGUGGCGAACGGGUGAGUAACGCAUCGGAAAGUACCGAGUAAUGGGGGAUAACUUACCGAAAGGACAGCUAAUACCGCAUAUUAUUCGAGCGGCCGAUGUCUGAUUAGCUGGUUGGCGGGGUAAAGGCCAACCAAGGCAACGAUCAGUAGCUGGUCUGAGAGGGUGAUCCACCACACUGGGACGGAAACAGCGCCCAGACUCCUACGUGGGGCAGCAGUGGGGAAUUUUGGACAAUGGGCGCAAGCCUGAUCCAGCCAUGCCGCGUGUCUGAAGCAGGCCUUCGGGUGGUAAAGGACUUUUGUCAGGGAAGCGGUACCUGAAAAAUAAGCACCGGCUAACUACGUGCCAGCAGCCGCGGUAAUAC